GUUAACGGCGUCGAGCGGCGGACGGGUGAGUAAUGCCUGGGAAAUUGCCCUGAUGUGGGGGAUAACCAUUGGAAACGAUGGCUAAUACCGCAUAAUGCCUUCGGNNCNNAGAGGGGGACCUUCGGGCCUCUCGCGUCAGGAUAUGCCCAGGUGGGAUUAGCUAGUUGGUGAGGUAAUGGCUCACCAAGGCGACGAUCCCUAGCUGGUCUGAGAGGAUGAUCAGCCACACUGGAACUGAGACACGGUCCAGACUCCUACGGGAGGCAGCAGUGGGGAAUAUUGCACAAUGGGCGCAAGCCUGAUGCAGCCAUGCCGCGUGUGUGAAGAAGGCCUUCGGGUUGUAAAGCACUUUCAGCAGUGAGGAAGGCGGGUACGUUAAUAGCGNGNUCGUUUGACGUUAGCUGCAGAAGAAGCACCGGCUAACUCCGUGCCAGCAGCCGCGGUAAUACGGAGGGUGCGAGCGUUAAUCGGAAUUACUGGGCGUAAAGCGCAUGCAGGUGGUUCGUUAAGUCAGAUGUGAAAGCCCGGGGCUCAACCUCGGAACUGCAUUUGAAACUGGCGGACUA
rnacentral:rRNA from 1 species